rnacentral:rRNA from 1 species
GACGAACGCUGGCGGCGUGCUUAACACAUGCAAGUCGAGCGGUAAGGCCCUUUCGGGGGUACACGAGCGGCGAACGGGUGAGUAACACGUGGGUGACCUGCCCUCAGCUCUGGGAUAAGCCUGGGAAACCGGGUCUAAUACUGGAUAUGACUCCAUGACGCAUGUUGUGGGGUGGAAAGCCUUGUGCGGCUGAGGAUGGGCCCGCGGCCUAUCAGCUUGUUGGUGGGGUGANGGCCUACCAAGGCGACGACGGGUAGCCGGCCUGAGAGGGCGACCGGCCACACUGGGACUGAGACACGGCCCAGACUCCUACGGGAGGCAGCAGUGGGGAAUCUUGCGCAAUGGGCGAAAGCCUGACGCAGCGACGCCGCGUGAGGGAUG